rfam:Schistosoma haematobium scaffold4_30, whole genome shotgun sequence.
GCAUUGCUGAAGAGUCCCACAAUAGGACGAAACGGCCGUCCAGUGC